CUAAAAGUAAGUUAAUUAAAACUAUUGGAUUCAUACUCCAACCUUGAUUUUGUCCUUUUAGA
rnacentral:tRNA from 1 species